UGUAGGAGGCAGGUAGUAACAUUGCCUGGCUUUAACAUUGCCGUGAAUGACCUGGAGGAGGCCAAGUCACUCUUCUGCAAGGUCCUGGAAGUGACACCCUGUGCCCUGGGCUCCUGUUUGCCACGCUGCUCACCGUGGUGACUGCCUCCUGGCCCAGAUGGCAGUUUUAGAAGAAAAAAGCAGCAAACAAACUGGACCUGGAACAUAAAGAAAGAUGUUGUUGACUUUAUGGGAAGCUAUUUAAAAGUGACAAGGCAAACACUCAACUAAGAGGGAAGAGAAGCUGCGAGAAGAAACAGAAGCAAAAUAAAAGAUGGGUGCUCUGCUGAAAUACAAAUACUUUAUGUGCUCUUCAACUAGUUCAAAUAUGUCCAUGUUUAAAUGAAGAUUUUAUCAUGCAAGAUGGUUUUGUUCUUUUUUUUCCUCCUUCUGGCAACCUGUGAUUCCAACAUUACACAUUCUGCUAUGCAUACUCCUCUU